AUCCAGUGACGAGUCCCAAAUAGGACGAAAGGCGCGUUAUCCUGGAC
rfam:Trichobilharzia regenti genome assembly, scaffold: TRE_scaffold0016404